UCCAGUCCAAGGCGCCGCGGCUUCCGCCCGGGAGGCGGGCUGGUCCCAAACGAGGUCGUGCGCGCUUCCUGCGAUGGUUUUUUGCUGUCCCCGUCUGGCCCCAGGUUGGUAUAUGCUGGACGUCAGCAGCAGAUAGGACACCCCAGCACAAUGAGCCCGCAGCAAUCCGGACUUUCUAGCCUUCAAGUGUACCUCAGAGCGGAAGCUGCGCAUUUGAUUUUUUUUUUUUUUUUUUGGCUCCAUAUUAAAGAACAAAGCAUGGGAACUGGACAGGUCCCUCUGUAAACAGAAAACACAUGUUUUCUGAGAGAAUGGGCCCUUCCUUUCCUGGUUUCAUCUCCCGUGGACAGAGGCCUCCUUAGGCCCGCUGACUUCAAGACCAUGGAGACUGUGGACCGAGGGCUGAGAGGAGGUGAUUCUUCUUUGCUCAACUCAGGGACCGGACACUCGCCUUCUUUUUUUUUUUUUUUUUUUUUUUUUGAGAGUCUCGCUCUGUCGCCCAGGCUGGAGUGCAGUGGCGCGAUCUCAGUUCACUGCAAGCUCCGCCUCCCGGGUUCACGCCAUUCUCCUGCCUAAGCCUCCGGAGUACCUGGGACUACAGGCACCCGCCACCAAGCCCGGCUAAUUUUUUUUUUUUUUUUUUUUUGUAUUUUUAGUAGAGACGGGUUUCACCAUGUUAGCCAGGAUGGUCUCGAUCUCCUGACCUCGUGAUCCGCCUGCCUCGGCCUCCCAAAGUGCUGGGAUUACAGGCAUGAGCCACCGCGCCCAGCUGACAUUUGCCUUUUUGAAUGGGGGCCAGGACAAGUGCUAGAGGUCUGCUCAGCAGUGGGGUGUGGUCUGAGGAGGGAGGGCCCCUCAGAGACCUGAACAGGAAGUGGGGGUCUGCACCAUUUGUGUCCUCCAAGCACACUAGAAUUGUUUAGGGUUCUACCCGAGCUAGCUCCAAGUGAACGUGUGUUCUUUGGAGCCUGCUAGCCACAAAUGGGCAGAGACCUCUAACUCAGAUGAGAAGCCUGUGUCUGCAAAGAAUGGGCAUUCUUGGACUGAGUACCCACUGCUGUGUGUCCUUGGGCAAGUUUCUUAACCUCUCUGGGCCUCACGUUUCUCAUCUGUAAAAGCAGGAUAAUAGUUAUUUAGGAUUCAAUAAGAUCAUGGAAAUAGCCCCAUUGGACACAUAACUAGGAGCUAAUUAAUAAGUGAGCAAAAUCAAACAUUGUCUCUGUUUCAAUGCUGAGCUACGGUAGAGUGGCCCAAGAAUCCUCUACAGACACCCAGGGUGCCCAUACUCCAAGGAGCACCUCCUCUUCCCCUGCCUUCUGUUGGGCACAGCCACUCCCAGGCCGCCGUGACACCUUUUUGGAAGCAGCCGUCUUGCAGACAGAUCAUCCCUUUGAAUCUCCCCAGCAGCCUGAACUUUGUCCUUGAGGGGAGAUUUGAUUUGCGGAAAUAAUCAGACAUCCUUUAAGACAAGUCUGCUGAAUGGAUGCUCAGAAGCCAAGCCAGGGCCUCCUGUCCAGGGCCAGCAUGUGCCACGACUGUAAAGUCAGAAGCCAGUCUGGCCACGUGCUCUGAAGGCAGUAUAGAAAAGAUCUGGACUGGAUCAUCGCCACUGGCGUUGGUGGGUGUGAGCGACGUGUCCGUGUGUGUGUGUGUGUGUGUGUGUGCGUGUGUGCAUGUGUGUAUGAAAAUAGAGAUAUUCACACACACCCCUGAGCUUGGUGGACGGACCAAACCAAAGCCUGCCUAAUUAACAUGAGGCUGCCUUUCAUCUCUCAGCCCACAACUUGAUUUUCAUGGAAAUUUCUCUGUGUGGGAAAAUUACAAGCAUUUCUGAUACAGGCAAGUGUUGUGAGAGUAUGGCAGCAUGUUGUCCUGGAAUACUGGGAUUUAGAGGCUGGGUUCCCCUAGCCUGUUCCUAACCAGCUGUGUGGCCUCUGGCUCCUUUCUUCACCCCCCAUCUCUUGGUUUCCCCAUCUCAAGUGCUCCAGGAAGGAAACACACAGGCUGUGCCCACAUGCGUGGGCAUUCACAGCACGUGCGGGUGACAUUGCUCAUUAAAACACUGUAAAAAUUAAUUGGCAUUCACAAAGUUCUAGUCACAAUAGCAAACAUUUUAAAAAAUCAGAAACAGGCCAGGCACAGUGGCUCACGCCUGUAAUUUCAGCACUUUGGGAGGCCGAGGUGGAUCACUUGAGCCUGGGAGGCAGAGGUUGCAGUGAGCCGAGAUUGCACCACUGCACUCCAGCCUGGGUGACAGUGAGACCCUGUCUCAAAAAACAAACAAACAGACAACACAAACAAUUCAAUUGUCCAUCAGUAUGUGAGUGGGUAAACAAAUGUCAAUAGGCAUAUGAUAAAAUAUCACGUAGCAGUAAAAAGGAAUGGGCUAUUGAUAAACUCAACAACAUAGAUAGCAGGAUCCCGAGCAAGAGUUCAUACUCCAUGAGUUAAAAUUUUUUUUUAAUAAAUUGAAACUGAUCUACGGUGGUUGGAUUCAGAUUGCUGGCUGCCAGGAAGUCAGAGACUGCCUGCAAGGGGCUCUAGGGAACAUUUUGUGGUGAUGUUUUCUUUCUUGAUCGUGGUGAUACAUGUCACGGUUGCAUACAUUGUCAAAACUCAUCGAACAGUAGAGGUGAAAGGGAUUUUGCUGCAUGGAACUUAUUCCUUAAUAAGGUUGAUUUCAAAAAUUAACUGGUAUUUAUACUUUAUUUUUCAAAUCUUGUAGAAAAUAAUGACAUAAAAUGCUCACAACGUAUUCAACAAAAAGACUGUAAAAUAACCUAUAGUAUGAUCUAAUGAUUAUAUAUACAUGAAUAUAUGUAUGCAUUUAUAACUUACGAUAUGGUCCAUUCAUAUAGAUAUGUGUACACACACACAAACACAUAUAUGCAUGCGCACAUAUAUACACAUACAGUUUGGAAAAUAUAGCAGAAGGACUUUCAACCAAAUGCAUUCAGUAAUUACCUCAUGGGUAAUUGUUUUCUUUUUAUUUUUUAAUUCUAAAUACCCUCUUAGUUUUUUCUUAAUUCUAAAUAUCCUCUUAGUUUUUUUUUUUUUUUUUUGUACUUUUCUGUAAUGAACACUAUUUUUGUGGAAGAGAGUCUUUUUUGCUUGCUGUAUUUUUCUUUAUUGUUAAUUGACAAAUAAUUGUAUGUAUUCAUGAGGUAUAAUAUGUUAUAUAUAUAACACUUUUCUUUUUAUAAACAAAUAAAAACAAA